rnacentral:rRNA from 1 species
UACGUAGGUGGCGAGCGUUGUCCGGAUUUACUGGGCGUAAAGAGCGCGCAGGCGGUCGGUCAAGUCGCGUGUGAAAGCCCCCGGCUCAACUGGGGAGGGUCACGCGAUACUGAUCGACUCGAAGGCAGGAGAGGGUAGUGGAAUUCCCGGUGUAGUGGUGAAAUGCGUAGAUAUCCGGAGGAACACCAGUGGCGAAAGCGGCCACCUGGACUGCACCUGACGCUGACACGCGAAAGCUAGGGGAGCGAACGGG